ACCAUGUCUUAAUGCUUUUGUGAUAAAGUAUAUGGCAUAUUGUUUAGCUUGCAUGGCUAGUAAGUGGAUUCUUUAAGCACCAUUACAACCCAUUACUUCAUGGCAAAAGCCAGAAGUUGCUUUCAUACUUAAAUUAAGUUGCUUCAUACCGAUGUCCUGGGUCCUCUACUGGAAUAAUAGCUAUGAGCAUGUUCUUGUUCUGGUUGGUACUUUUUGUAAUUGCUGUCUUAUUUACCUACUGUACACACAGUAUUCUUAUGAGCUACAGAAAGCAUUUAUAAAUGCUAUCUCCUUGUAUUGCACUCUGCAUCUUAUAGAUACUGAUUGUGGUUGCAUGUUAGAAUCAGCAAACUUUGUAAAAUGGGGUAAUGAUUUAGGAUGCUCCAUUCACUACAUAACUCUUGAGAUGUAUCAUGCCAAUGGUCAAUUGGAGCGGUGUUUGUACUCUUUUCAAUAUGUUAAGGGUUGAGACCUAUAACAGGAAGAAUAAGUGGUCUGAAGAGCUGUGGCAUUUGCAAAAUGUCAUCAAUCAGGAAACUACUCAAGCGUCUCCACUCAACUUUUUGAUUGGCAUUGGAGUGUAACACAGUAUGCUGAGCACCUCAUGUUUUCCAAAAGGAAGACCUUGCUAUUGUCAUAACCAGAUCCUGGAAUGCACGGACCUUAUAGGGUCACAAGAAUCUUGAAGAAUGACCGAAAUGAGUUGAAACUUGUUGCUGGGGCUUAUGGAAAGGUAACUUUGCUGUGUUGCAGUUCAUAGUGCCCUGGAAUGGCGAAUGGACUCCUUAUGGGUGUGCUGCUUUCUUUGCAUAUCCUUCCGAUGACAGAGGCUGAGCACUCCAGUCUUCGACGGUGAAGAAGUUGGUGCAACCACGCCUGUCGAGGACGCCAGUGUGUCAGGAGAGGCCGUGUAAGGGAACGUCGUCGGUUUAACGUUUGUCGAACUGUCAAAUUCAAUUGACAGGAUAAGACAAGCGUCACUUCCGCCCACUUCCGCUCCAGACCGCACCGCGACCGGUGCAUGAUAUCGCUUUUGAAUCGUAUCUCUUUAUUGUUAUCCUUUGUAGCCAGAAAUUGGUAAUAUCAAGCAUUGUAUUUGUGUUAGUAAUAUUAAAACCAUUUAGUAAGUUGUA